rnacentral:rRNA from 1 species
GAUGAACGCUGGCGGCGUGCUUAACACAUGCAAGUCGAACGGAGUUAUUUUUAAAGCUUGCUCUUUAAAUAACUUAGUGGCGGACGGGUGAGUAACGCGUGGGUAACCUGCCUCAUACAGGGGGAUAACAGUUGGAAACGACUGCUAAUACCGCAUAAGCGCACGGUAUCGCAUGGUACAGUGUGAAAAACUCCGGUGGUAUGAGAUGGACCCGCGUCUGAUUAGCCAGUUGGUGGGGUAACGGCCUACCAAAGCGACGAUCAGUAGCCGACCUGAGAGGGUGACCGGCCACAUUGGGACUGAGACACGGCCCAAACUCCUACGGGAGGCAGCAGUGGGGAAUAUUGCACAAUGGGGGAAACCCUGAUGCAGCGACGCCGCGUGAACGAAGAAGUAUUUCGGUAUGUAAAGUUCUAUCAGCAGGGAAGAUAAUGACGGUACCUGACUAAGAGGCACCGGCUAAAUACGUG